UACAUAGGGGGCAAGCGUUGUCCGGAUUUAUUGGGCGUAAAAGGCUUGUAGGUGGCCACGCCAAGUCGGAUGUGAAAUCUCCCGGCUCAACUGGGAGGGGUCAUUCGAUACUGGCGGGCUCGAGGCCGGUAGGGGGAAGUGGAAUUCCCGGUGUAGUGGUGGAAUGCGUAGAUAUCGGGAGGAACACCAGUGGCGAAGGCGGCUUCCUGGACCGGUUCUGACACUGAGGAGCGAAAGCGUGGGGAGCGAUCCGG
rnacentral:rRNA from 1 species